ACAUGUCGUGGUCGAACGGUUUAAUCAGAAGCACCAAGAACAAGCAGCCCUGAUAGACAGUUUUGAAAUGACACGUAUUUGGAAACAUCAAAAAUCCAGAUUAAAGAUUGAUCCUGAAAAAUAUGGAAGAAUACUGGGGAUUGCAAAUGAAAGUCACCACUGGAUGCUAGUGGUUAUGUAUCCCAUGGAUAAAA